GCCUUUGAGGAUGAUGAAAAAUAUUACUUUCGUUCUUCAGUUUUUUAUGCGGAAAAUAUAUGGAUAUCCGAACUGAAGAGCU